GCCGCCCCAUCUGAGAAGGGAGGAGACCCUCCGCCCGGCAACCGCCCUGUCUGAGAAGUGAGGAGCCCCUCUGCCCGGCAGCCACCCCGUCUAGGAAGCUGGAAAAGAGAUGUAACCUCAGGAAGCAGGUGUGUGAAAGACGAUCCAACUCGGGAGAAUCCAUGGACAGCUGGCCCUGAAUCUUAGCCCUGCAAGUGAUUGCUGUGAUGUUCAGGUCCAACGUCUCAGGUCUCGUUCAUACAUCUCCACCUCUCACCGUCACUCACUGGAUCCCAAUAUCACAGGCUGUGCAGAGGGAAGAUUACUCCAAAGCUUGUUUUCUUCACAUCUAGCCAACUAGUCUGUUCUCAAAAGAACUGAAAGGGAUGUCCAGCCUUGAUGGUCAGUCUGCUAGGAAAAGACACAGAGCCAGGAAGCCAGGGUUCAAGAUUUGGUUUUAUUCCUUACUGACUAUAUGAUACCAGACAAGCAUUGAGCCUCUUUGAGCCUUAGUUUCCUCAGUAUAAAAUGAGGGAUACUAGUAUUACCUACCUCUCAAAAUUGUUGUAAAGAUUUAGUGAAAUGUAAGCUGUACAAAUGACCAAUGCCUUUUUAAAAAUACUCUGAACCUGUUUUUUUUUUUUUUUAAGUUUGGAAAUCUUAAACACUUAAUAGAAAAAAUUUGUAAGUGAUGACUGAAAUGAACCAAACUUUUUCUACAAACUUUAGCCUACAAAGCUCCCAGCACACACCUUAGCACAACCCUGCACCUUCUAAAUAGGCAACACUGAACACUCCAGGGAGAAAGUCAGAUUUCAAAGCGCUUUACCUUGUUCUUUCCUCUUUUCCCGCCUUGGCCUCCCAGGUAAUUUAUUACAGAGAUCUGGCAAGGCUUCACAGUGAAUGAAGCCUGGUGGUGCUACAGCGGGUGACAAAGGCAAACCGGAUCCUGUAUUUAAACAAAACUGAAGGAAGUGCAGAGAGCCCGCGUUUGGCUCUCCGCGAGGUCUCCAUAUGCUGGCCCUCCCGUGCACACACUGGGGAGCAUUGUUCACAGUUUGAGAGUCAUCGCUGCAGCCUGCACUGACGUGAGUCUCCACCAUCAGCUAAGAGGAACACUGGUCUCCCACACAGCAGCCAAAUCCAAGAUCAGUGCUUCCCAGGGAGCACUAGAAACCAAACAUAACAACAAGAAAUGACUUUCCAAACACCCUUUCACAGAGAAAAAUAGAGAGUACAAACAAUAUUUUCAUCAUUAGUAGUUAUAAAAUAUUCAUGAUGUUCUAGGGAGAUAAAAGGUAAGGAUAUCUCACCCCUCACCCAUCCCCACCUACCUUGACCCAUCCUUCCCAACCUCACCUGUAAAAGAGUUCAAAUUGGACUUGUAUAAAUUCCCCCAAAGAGUGUACCUACUUCUGAAAUACAGAGGAAGGAAUGUUCUUCAUUCUUACCUUCUGUUAAGGAGUUAAGAGAAGGUAGUACUAUUUACUAAGUUCCUGGCAUAUACCAAGACAUUUUCUUUUUUUCUGUUUUUUGUUUGUUUGUUUUUGUUUUUUGUUUUUUGAGACAGGUCUCCCUCUGUCACCCAGCCUGGAGUGCUGUGAUGCAAUCAUAGCUCAUUGCAGCCUACAACUCCUAGGCUCAAGUGAUCCUCCUGCCUCAGCCUCCCACGCAGCUGGGACUACAGGUGGAUCACCACGCCCAGCUAAUUUUUUUUUUUUCUUGGUAGAGACAGUUGCCCAGGCUGCUCUUGAACUCCUGGCCUCAAAGGAUCCUCCAGACUUGGCAUCCCAAAGUGCUGGGAUUACAGACAUGAGACAUUUUCACAGACAGUAUUUAAUCCUUUUUAUGACACUUUGAGAUAGGUAUUCUUAUGCCUAUCGAUGUGGAAACUGAGGGUCAGAAAGAUUAAGAAACUUAUUCAUGGCCAUGCACAGUAGUCAUGCCUAUAGUCCCAGUGAGAGGUGAAGCUGGCUGGGCUUCUGGGUGGGGUGGGGACGUGGAGAACUUUUCUGUGUAGCUAAAGGUUUGUAAACACACCAAUCAGCACUCUGUAAAAUGCCCCAAGUGGGCGGAUCAUGAGGUCAGGAGAUCGAGACCAUCCUGGCAACACGGUGAAACCCCGUCUCUACUAAAAAUAUUAAAAAAAAUAGCCGGACGUGGUGGCAGGCGCCUGUAGUCC
rnacentral:lncRNA from 10 species